rnacentral:piRNA from 1 species
UNCUAGCCAUCUUGACCUAUGAUAUAUGUC